rnacentral:snoRNA from 1 species
AUGCAUCUCUGACAGACCUGGAGCACUUAAUGUCUGCUGCUAAGGUUUCCACUAUAGAUGCAAGGAAAAGAAGGUCCUUGCCCUUUCUGUCUGUCUGGUUGUGGCAACCAAGAUUUAAUGGAAUACAGGA